CCUACGGGAGGCAGCAGUAAGGAAUAUUGGUCAAUGGAGGCAACUCUGAACCAGCCAUGCCGCGUGCAGGAAGAAGGCCCUAUGGGUCGUAAACUGCUUUUGUACCAGAGAAAACCCGAGUACGUGUACUCGGUUGAUAGUAUGGUAAGAAUAAGCAUCGGCUAACUUCGUGCCAGCAGCCGCGGUAAGACGAAGGAUGCAAGCGUUAUCCGGAUUCAUUGGGUUUAAAGGGUGCGUAGGCGGACUGAUAAGUCAGUGGUGAAAUCUCUCGGCUUAACCGAGAAACUGCCAUUGAUACUGUUAGUCUAGAGUAUAGAUGACGUUGGCGGAAUAUGACAUGUAGUGGUGAAAUACUUAGAUAUGUCAUAGAACACCGAUUGCGAAGGCAGCUAACGAAACUAUAACUGACGCUGAGGCACGAAAGUGCGGGGAUCAAACAGGAUUAGAUACCCUGGUAGUCCGCACCGUAAACGAUGAUUACUCGUUGUUGGCAUAUGUACCGUCACGCGACCGAACGACGAACGACGAGUAAGUAAUACCACCGUACGGGACGGUACGGACCGGCCGACCGGUACGAACGUACGAACGUAGUAAGUUAGUACGGACGUAGAGACGUUAGCCGACGGACGACGACGAGGGAGGAGGGNG
rnacentral:rRNA from 1 species